GAUAAAUAAAUAGGAAAACCGGCCACAUACCCGUCACGCAAUAACACAUGUACAAUGUGCUUCAAUACUUGUACCACUUGUACGUUUGCAGUUUGUACCCUUCCAAACCAUAGUUAAAAGACUUAAAGCCACUCUUCUCUAUAUAUAUUUGGUUCCCUUUACACACACUCUUCUCUCUCGGUGAUAUAAAACACCAAAAAUCAGUUUCAAAUAAUCUCUCUCUCUCUCUCUCUCUCUCUCUUCCGGGAGAGAGACGAUUAAAAGGGACUAGUACUGGCCUGGUUAAGGAGCAUUGUACCGAGUCAACUCAGACGGAGGCGAAAGAAGCGGAAGCGGAAGCUGAUGAAUUGGCUGCAAAAGAUGGUGUUUCCGGUUAGACGUGUUUGGCUUGCGGUGACUGCCCGUGUUAAGUCACGAAACAACGGUGGCGGGCUUUUGAAGCUACACGAUGACAUUGAAACAUGCGGGUAUGAGGAUGUACAAGUAAUGUGGCAGAUGCUUCAUAAAACAGAACUAGAGUUACCAUCAAACAACCGUCGAAAGCUUAAACCAAGACCAUUUUGGAAGAUCUUUGUUUGGCACAACAAUACUUGUUCAUCACCUUUCUCCAUUGACCAUGCUUAACAAAGUCAAAACCGGUGUCACCUUACUAUCCUGCAACAAAAUAUGAAAGUUUGUUGGUAUAAUUACUAUGAUUUUGAUAUGUGUCUAGGCGACCGGCUAUUGUGACUCGCAGGGACUAGCAUCGUGCAUCACAAUAGCAAAGUCGUUUUUUUUUUGUAAAUAUAAUUAUGUUUUUUUUUUUUUCCAAGAUGCACAUCAACUCAUACAGCAGAAAGAAGAAAAAAAUAGUGAUUGAAUAAACAUGUUUCAAGAUGCACAUAAAAGUUAAGCUACAUGGGAGCGGAUCGAGUAGGUUGAAAGUAUUUGAAGUUUUAACGCCUAUAUACUCUUAGAAGAUCUAGGGCGUGUUUGACAUUACGUUUUGAAAAUGAUUAUGCGAAUAUGCGAUAUUGUGCUUUUACUAUUUGAGGGGGUUUUAUUGAGUGUUUGGCAAAUUCUAAUAAAUUUACAUGUAAAAUCUUCCUAUACUAAUAAACGAAAAUCUUUUUGUACA